rnacentral:rRNA from 1 species
GACGAACGCUGGCGGCGUGCUUAACACAUGCAAGUCGAACGGAAAGCCCCUGCUUUUGUGGGUUGCUCGAGUGGCGAACGGUUGAUUAACCCGUGAUUAACCUGCCCUUGACUUUGGGUUAACUUCAGGAAACUGGGGCUAAUACCGGAUAGGAGCUCCUGCUGCAUGGUGGGGGUUGGAAAGUUUCGGCGGUUGGGGAUGGACUCGCGGCUUAUCAGCUUGUUGGUGGGGUAGUGGCUUACCAAGGCUUUGACGGGUAGCCGGCCUGAGAGGGUGACCGGCCACAUUGGGACUGAGAUACGGCCCAGACUCCUACGGGAGGCAGCAGUGGGGAAUAUUGCACAAUGGGCGGAAGCCUGAUGCAGCAACGCCGCGUGCGGGAUGACGGCCUUCGGGUUGUAAACCGCUUUCGCCUGUGACGAAGCGUGAGUGACGGUAAUGGGUAAAGAAGCACCGGCUAACUACGUG